rnacentral:rRNA from 1 species
CGACGUGAGGAACCUGCCUUUCAGAGGGGGACAACAGUUGGAAACGACUGCUAAUACCGCAUAACGCAUGGGUAUCGCAUGGUAUCUGUGCCAAAGAUUUAUCGCUGAGAGAUGGCCUCGCGUCUGAUUAGCUAGUUGGUGAGGUAACGGCCCACCAAGGCGACGAUCAGUAGCCGGACUGAGAGGUUGGCCGGCCACAUUGGGACUGAGAUACGGCCCAGACUCCUACGGGAGGCAGCAG